GGUAGUUGGUUGUGGUAAUGGCUAAUGGAGGUGUUUGUGAUAUCAACUAAAGGCGAUGAUUGAUGGUGGUUAUAGUUAACGAUGAUAGUUCUAGGUGGUAGCUAAUGGUGAUUGGUAGGAUCACAAUUAUGGUUAAGGAUGGUGAUAGUUGAUAAUGGUAUGUGGUGAUGGUAGUUGUGACUGAGGAAGGUGAUGGUGGGUGGUGGUAGUUUAUAAUGAUGGGCGGACUCGGUUACGACUGUUGAUGAAGAUAGGCGGUUGUUGUGGUAGUUGAGGUGGGUGAGUGUGUGGUUAUGAUUGAAAAUGAUGGUGGUGGGGAUGGUGACUGGUGGUAGUGGUGGAGGCUGUGGUUGAAGAUGGUGGUGGUGGUGGUGGUUGGGCACAGUGGUGGUGGUACUUGAUAAUUGUUGGAGGUGACAGCAGUUAGUAAUGAAUGAGGAUAGAAUCUUAACAAAUUAAAUCUUUGUUAUAGAUCUUAGUCUUACAGACUCAUUAAGUGAUUGUAAAGUAAAAAAUACAAAUACAAUUAAAGAUUAAGAUUCAGACUUUAAAAACAAAUGCACUUAAUAUAUGAAAUUUGAAUGAUUAAGUCCAUUAAUUACAAACAAAUGAGGCUAAGUGUGUAAUGAUCUGAUUGGUCGAUUUUCUUUCAAAAAUUCUGUUCCCUUAAUAAGACUUCUCGUACUUGCUUUUAGUGAUUUAUGGCUUGCGGGGAUGAGUAGUUCAGAAUUUGAAAAAUUUUGGGUUGAAUUCGGAACACUUGGUUCCUUAAGGAUGGCUUAAAAGGCUAAGUUUGACUUCGAUCAAUAUUAU
rnacentral:lncRNA from 1 species